rnacentral:rRNA from 1 species
CAUACAGGGGGAGUAACAGUUGGAAACGGCUGCUAAUACCGCAUAAGCGCACAGUACCGCAUGGUACCGUGUGAAAAACUCCGGUGGUAUGAGAUGGACCCGCGUCUGAUUAGCUAGUUGGUGGGGUAACGGCCUACCAAGGCGACGAUCAGUAGCCGACCUGAGAGGGUGACCGGCCACAUUGGGACUGAGACACGGCCCAAACUCCUACGGGAGGCAGCAUG